CAGACACACUUUGUGUUCAUGUGUCUAUCCUAUUCACACUAUAGCAACCAUGAGUAGCAGGUUUUUGUUUGGCUUUUCCACUACUGAUGGACGCGGACUGUUUACCUCAGGAAUAAAAUAAUGUUGGUGGGAAGCAAGAGGUCGGGACAGUAAGAGUUGUGUGUGCGUACACUGUGGUUGUGCUUCUGACACAGAGGCUGCUUUCCCUCUUGACAUAGCAUCAAGUAGCAUUUAGUAGUCCUCACACAUACAGAGAGCAAAGAUCAAGUUGCACCACUUUUUGCUCACACAACAGCAACAUAGACAGGAAGUGACAUCUGGAAUUACAAAUUCUGUUUUACUUGCAUUCGUUUUGUGCAAAUCUGUUGCUCCACCAGGGCAGAGAGAGCGAGGGAUUGGGGGUGAAAGGGUCACAUCCUUACGUUGGCUAUCUGUGUCAGCAUAAUCAUCACCAGUUGUUUAUAUGUGGUUCUGAUCUAGCUAGUGCAAUACAGAAACAACAGCUGGGAUAAAGCCCUUUCAUGGGGCUAAUGCUACACUAAAUGCCUAUGCUAUAUGUCUAAUAGAUUCAGAACCAGUAGAGUGCAGCAAUUAGUAAAGAAUUGGAGUGUGACACCAGUGGUGCAGAUAGGGACAAAUGGGGCCAGUAAACGUGUGCAAGAAACCAAUUUCCAAUGUGCAUUGACAGCAUGUUCACCAAAGUACUAGAGCUGUACUGCAGGCUAAUUCUAUAUCUAGGCCUUUAUUAAUUUGUGAAUUGUGAGUAAAGCCGGGUGGACACUAAGCGAUUUUGGCACCGAUAUGUUUGAGAUCGGUGACAAAAUCCCCAUAUUGUUGCCUACUCAGGGGGUGCGGCUGUCACCGACGCUCGUUGACGUCCCGAUAUUUUCAAAUAUGUUUGAUUUUAAAAAUCGGCACAAAAUCUGCAAUGCUCUUGUAAUGUGAGAUGUGCAACAACAAGUUUUGAGAACUGCAAUCAGCAAUUGGCAAUGAGAGCUCGUGACAAAAUCAGACGGAAGAGGUGGACGCUAGCUAGCGUAGCAUAAAAAUAACAUUGCUUCGAAGAGCUGGGAGCACUCCACGGUCUGUGGACACGAGAUGGAACGGAGGCUGGUGGAACUUUGGCAAGAUCACGAGUGCCUGUCCAAUGUCUCUUCUGAGUUUCACCACAACCGGACUGAAAAAGAAAAGAGCUGGAAAGACAUUGCCACUGCUCUUCAACAACCAGCGCGAUGUGAGGAUAAAGAUGCUGCAUGAGACAGAGGAUAACGUCAGAGACAUCUGAAAUGUCUUUCUCCACAUCACCAGUAGCUCUGUUAAGACCUGUGACGUUGACAAUUGACAUAUGAGCUAUUAAGCCUCAAUCACGACGUGGUACCCCUGUUGAGUGAAGUCCUUCUCCUGGCCCCUCGGAGAAUCCAUCCACCGCCAGCAGGAAGGAGACUGAAAAUAUGCCUUAGAAGAAACGCAGCAAAGAGAAGCAAUCGGAGCAGGACAGCUCCAGAAGCUUGUUUGUUUUAAGCGAAUGUCUGAAAAAGUACAGAAUAUUGGCGCCAAGCAGCCUGUUGACGCAGAGGUUACAUUUGGAAAUCAGGUGGCAGCUGAACUAAUAAAAAGACCCAUCAGUCAAAACAGCGGUCAAAAGAAACAUUAGGAUACUGUUAAUGACGCCCAAUGUGAGGUUAACAUUAGACCACCACCACCUUCAUAUCCACCACCAGCAGCAUCUCUCAGACACACACACACACACACACAGUACCUGCACAACCCCUACAUGCCACCUCAGAUUCGUGAGCCUCUAAGUUUUACUGGGAUGCAACACAAAGUCGAUCCCAGUAACAGUCAGUACAUUUACAUUACAUUUAAGUCAUUUGGCAGACGCUCUUAUCCAGAGCGACUUACAAAUUGGUGAAUUCACCUUAUGACAUCCAGUGGAACAGCCACUUUACAAUAGUGCAUCUAAAUCAUUUAAGGGGGGGGGGGGUGAGAAGGAUUACUUUAUCCUAUCCUAGGUAUUCCUUAAAGAGGUGGGGUUUCAGGUGUCUCCGGAAGGUGGUGAUUGACUCCGCUGUCCUGGCGUCGUGAGGGAGUUUGUUCCACCAUUGGGGGGCCAGAGCAGCGAACAGUUUUGACUGGGCUGCAAGGCCCCAUGCUUGUACUUGUGUUUACAAAUAGCCUACACAAUUUUUUACAAUAUGCAUUUCUGAGGACAGCCUUUGCAGAGGUAACCUUUUCAGGAUCGAAUGUGACUGGCACUCAGUUUUCAAUAUGUCGCCUCUGGUGCUGAAGUACUCAAAUUCUUUUCAAAAUGUUUACACUGGUACUGGACGACUACAUUUUUAUAGUUUAAGGUGUAAAUAAGAAAGGAAUGUUGACCUAGUUUUAUGGUUGUUCCGUUUUGUAUUCAGUUUAGUGUGUUUUGAAAGCUCAGGUGGAAUGUUCUAAAAGUUAAGUGUGGUGUAGGUACACUAGAAUGUGUCAUUUGCAGGUUGGAACUACUUUCAAUAAAUGUUUGAAACAUG